rnacentral:tRNA from 1 species
GACCACUUGGCCUAAUGGAUAAGAUGUCUGAUUUCGGAUCAGAAUAUUCAGGUUCAAGUCCCUUCGUGGUUG